CAAGUGAAGAGUUUGAUCCUGGCUCAGAGUGAACGCUGGCGGCAGGCCUAACACAUGCAAGUCGAACGGCAGCACAGGGGAGCUUGCUCCCUGGGUGGCGAGUGGCGGACGGGUGAGGAAUGCGUCGGAAUCUGCCUUUUCGUGGGGGAUAACGUAGGGAAACUUACGCUAAUACCGCAUACGACCUACGGGUGAAAGCCGGGGACCUUCGGGCCUGGCGCGGAAAGAUGAGCCGACGUCGGAUUAGCUAGUUGGAGGGGUAACGGCCCACCAAGGCGACGAUCCGUAGCUGGUCUGAGAGGAUGAUCAGCCACACUGGGACUGAGACACGGCCCAGACUCCUACGGGAGGCAGCA
rnacentral:ncRNA from 1 species